GGGGCCGUCCUUAGAAACAGGGGCGCCUGCAGUCCGCCCGGUUACACGUGAAGGUUCCGUCGGAACGGGGAGCGCUGCGGGGCUGAGCGAUGCGGGGGGAGAUGAGCUCGCUUGAGUUUUUUCCCCCUUUAUUAUUGUUAUUUUUUAAAGGACGCCGGGAUCCGCGUAAAGGUGAAGCCGGGCAGUGCCGAUAGUACAUACACAGCAGCCCCUGACAGCGCCUUGUCACUUGCGCGGCUCAGCGUCGCUUCGAGCGCUGUCGAGGAAACGCAGUCACCCAAUGAGGAGCGAAGGGAAACUGAGGCACGGGCUGUCCCGGGGGCACGCAGCCCCCCCGGCCCCACCUCGCUCUGCAGUUGGUUCACAGUGAUAAAGUUUGGAUCCAAAGGCGCGCUCAGGUGUGGGGGCUCUGCUCCUGCCCUCGCUUUGCUGCUUGGUCACAAAGUUCAGCCGUGGGGCUGUGCUCAGCUGCGAGCUUCGGCCCCUCAGAAAUAAAUCCUUCUCCAAAUUCUGGUGCCUGUGAUGAGGAAAUGAGCGCUGCGAGCUGACAGCUCUCU
ensembl:lncRNA